CUGAACUGUCAGUGGGAGAAAUUGGAGCGGGGCGUGGCACGGGCCCGGGCGGGCUCCCUGUGCGCUGUAGCCUGGGGCACUGCUAGACCCAGGUGCUGCUGGGAGAGGAAUGAGCGUUGUAAAUGGUGAGCGGUGGUUACAGAAGCCUCUGUCCUUCCACGCCGAGAGAAGUCCCACUGAAAAAUGACUGCAGUGUGCCACAGAUAAAUAAUUGAUGGUUUUGGUUCUGGUGAAGAUGGAAUAAGCACAAUACCCUAUCUCUGCGAUAGCAUGCAGCUCAAACCUUGGAUUGAAUGAAGCGACUGUCUAUGGACUCUGAAAAGUAGAUGGCAGGAACACUGUAGGAGAUUAGAGCCCAAGUAAGAACAAUGCAGC
rnacentral:lncRNA from 1 species